UUCUCCUCUUCCCUGGCCCUGUGGUGUAGUCUCUUCCAGCAAACCUAAAAGACAAUCCCCAGGCCCUGCUGAGCUCAUGUGUUAUCCUGGCUGUGACGAUGCAGUCCUCAGGGGCUCUCUGACUCAACUCAUGAUGUCUAUCCUGAGAACAGUCCUUAUCACCUCUCACUCAGAUGGUGGCAAGAGCCUUCUGGCCACUUCACCAUGGAGGCGGUGAAGUGCAUGGGAACGGCACAGGCCUUAAAGUCAGAAAACCCACAAUUCGAUUCCUGUCUUCGCCUUGUACUAGUGGUGCAAGCUCUGUGGGCUUCCCUCUCCUCCCCUCCACUCACCCCAUGGGGAGUUGGUGAGGACUCACCAAGGGCUUUGUACUACAGUAUUGGGCACUCGCAUGGCUUUUCACAUGCAGACGUGUUCACGUCUCUUCCCUCGGAUAUGGUCACCUCUGAAUCUCACAGGAGGGGGUCAGGGGUGACUUUGGGGAAGGAUAUCAGCAUUCCUGGGUCUCUGGCUCUAAAACCAUCAAAAGACCAUCAAAAUUCACAACCAGUCUUAAAGCUUUUCUGCUUUUUCUACCAUUAAGUUGCAAGAAACCUUCAAAGCCCCUCAUUUUUUUUCAACAACCCCCCUCAUUCCACCCCUGCUGAAGGAGCUCAGUUAGUCUCUCCACGAAGGUGUGUCAGUCAUACCACCACCACCGCCGCCACCGCCGCCACCACCGCGGCCACCAUCAUCACCACCACCACCGUCACCAUCACUUCUCAGUCAUUCCAAAGGGCACAAGCAAGUGAGGAAGACUCUUGCUGGCCUUUUCUCCAGCUCCUGCAAGCCUGUGUGAUGGGCUCUCCUACCUAUCUUCUGACUGCUCAGUCUGCUCUCAGGCCUGCCCCUGUCCACAAGGCUCAGUCCCAUCUCUAAAAAGCAUGG